ensembl:lncRNA
GUGGACUUGAGCUCGGCUCCCAGAGUGAUCGAUCACAAGAGCAAAACUGUGACGAUAUCAACUGCAAAAUGAAACCCUGUGUUCCAAGGCCAUUGUGUUGACAAAUGGUGGUGUGCAGUUUUGGCAGAGCUUCAGAGCUGAGUCUUCCUUUAAAACUGAAGCCAGUGCAGAUAUUCAUUCCACUUUAUUAACCAGUAACUGAAGCGGUGGUGGAGUUAUGGGAUGGCUGUUCCGGCUGGGCCCACCUGCUCUGUUUCCCAGGGUUCAGCCGUCACUUCCGUCUCUCAUCAUCUCAUCAGUGAGAAGCAUUUAAAGACUGGCUUGUGCCUUCAUUCUCCAGAUUGUUGUCAUUUCGAUGGUGGUAAUUGGCUCCCUCAUGCUCAGAGCUCAUUUUUACUUCAACCUGUGAUCACAAGCUGGCUACCAGCUACCUAAGGAAUACUUACCUGUAACGUACGUCUCUGCCCCCCUCCUCCCUGGACUCUUCCAGCCAGUCAGUGUCUGCUGACCAAGACAACUGGCUCCACUUCAUUCUGAAAUGAAUAUUGACUUUGAAACACUUACCUCUCACUGAGUCUAAGUCCUGCUUUUGUUUUGUUUAUUUCUGGCAGUGAUUUCCUGCCAUGUUCCUGUUAUCAGACUCUUACCUGCACAAUUUCCUGCUGCUAUUUCCAGCAUCGUUAAAUUCCAAACACCUGUAAAUAAAGCGUUUUGAAUGGUUGCUUUCGGAGUCAACUUGUCCAUUUGCACCUCUCAACUGCUCCAAAUAUUCCUGCUACUGUACCUUUGGAUUGCUCACUACCGUCACUUGUCCAAUUAGUCUGAAAUAUCCAUCAUCCAUUGCAUUUAAUUGGGGGGGGGGGGGGGGGGGGGGGGGCGCAGAAGUGGCACGGAGUAUGACCAGUAAAGUAUUUGGUAAAGAUUGGGUUGGUGUGGCCCCACUUUUCAGUGGGUGCUACUGGUAGAGGCAGACUAUUUCUACAGGGCUGGCCAGGGUAAGCUGCUGGUGUGGUAUACAACUCAUGUCUUCAUUUAUUUUUGGGUUGGACACCCAACCCACCCAUCCAUCCAUUCUCUUCUGCUUAUCCUUGUCAGGGUCAUUUGGAGGGGCCUCUAGCCCCAGCUACCAUGGGGCUAGAGGUUUAUGUUGUCUUAAUGAUUUAAUAUUUAACAUUUCUGAAAGUAUUUUUUAUUUGUUGCCAGUUUUUUAUUGUUAAGCUUCACAAGGCAGUUACUAUAUAAAUGGUUGUUCAUGCUGUUAAAAUGGAUGUUAACAGCAGUCAUAAGUAAAUAACUCUGAAGGUACUCUGUGUCUUCGCGCUCACUGCCCUCUUAUUCUUGCACUCCUGCUGGAAAAUCCACAGAGGCAGCCGUUAACAUACACCUAAAUAGCGACAGACUAACACUCACUGAAUUUGCUGAGAACACUGACGGGUAGUCACACAACGAUCCACCGUCGAAGAGAGCUCAGCCGCACUGCUAAGUAGCUCCCCGGAGAGGCUGAUCAGCUACAGGUGUGUGUCAUCGUUGGGUGUGGCCAGCCACCUGGCCUGUGUUAGAUUAUAAUAUUAUUUUAUGCCAUGUUAUACCCCUAACUAAAGAUUGUGAAUUAUUAUGUAGUUUUAGUUUGCAUUAUUCUCCUGAAUUAGAAGAAGCUGAUAACUAUUGCAUUCGUUAAGCUGAUUUGCAUUACAUUAGACUGCUGAUUUAUUGUGGAUGAAUGAUAUUGUUUUAUGAUGUUAUAAGAAAUACUGUUUGCAGAAAGUCAUCGCCUUAUUUGUCUGAUUAGAAGAGAACAGAACAUGCUGGAGUUUUCUGCCCCAACUCAGCAGGAGCAGAUAAACAGGGAGCCAAGGUCGUAGCUUAGGCGCCGUGUGAGAGAAAAGCAAGUGAAUGUUUAGGCUUUUAUGAUAAGGUGGGGGCACCAGAGGCUAUAAGAGUUUGAGCAAUGCUCCACCAUUUUGAGAUCUGAGGUUGUCUGCAUACGGUGUCCAUCUCCCACGUGUGUGAUCAUUAAAAUCAUCGUUUGACUCAA